rnacentral:tRNA from 1 species
ACCUGGCUGGCUCAGUUGGUGGAGCAUGCGACUUCUGAUCCCAGGGUUGUGAGUUCGAGGCCCAUGUUGGGUG